rnacentral:rRNA from 1 species
AGUGAACGCUGGCGGUAGGCCUAACACAUGCAAGUCGAACGGCAGCACAGUAAGAGCUUGCUCUUACGGGUGGCGAGUGGCGGACGGGUGAGGAAUACAUCGGAAUCUACUUUUUCGUGGGGGAUAACGUAGGGAGACUUACGCUAAUACCGCAUACGACCUACGGGUGAAAGCAUGGGAUCUUCGGACCUUGCGCGGUUGGAUGAGCCGAUGUCGGAUUAGCUAGUUGGCGGGGUAAAGGCCCACCAAGGCGACGAUACGUAGCUGGUCUGAGAGGAUGAUCGGCGACAUUGGAAGUGAGCCACGGUCCAGACUCCUACGGGAGGCAGCAGUGGGGAAUAUUGGACAAUGGGCGCAAGCCUGAUCCAGCCAUACCGCGUGUGUGAAGAAGGCCUUCGGGUUGUAAAGCCCUUUUGUUGGGAAAGAAAAGCAGCAGGUUAAUACCCCGCUGUUCUGACGGUACCCAAAGAAUAAGCACCGGCUAACUUCGUG